rnacentral:rRNA from 1 species
UACGGAGGAUGCAAGCGUUGUUCGGAAUCACUGGGCUUAAAGCGCGUGUAGGCGGAGUGUUAGGUGUCGUGUGAAAUCCCCGGUCUCAACCCGGGAACUGCGCGGCAUACCGGCAUUCUUGAGGCAAGCAGAGGUGACUGGAACGACGGGUGGAGCGGUGAAAUGCGUAGAUAUCCGUUGGAACGCCGGCGACGAAGGUGAGUCACUGGGCUUGUCCUGACGCUGAGACGCGAAAGCGUGGGUAGCAAACAGG